UGUUGUUAGUGAGAUGCAGGGGAUAACAAGGUUCAAGUACCCCAGGUCCAGCAGUUUCUGGGUGCUCUUUUGGUUGCCUAGCUCAGGGAAGCAUGAGUAAGUGAAGACUUGGUGGAAGUUGACAUGUUAUUUUCCUUUAUUCCUUUUCCAGGAGGAUGGGAUGAUGCAAAAUUGUUGGAGCUGGUGGGCAAGGUAGAAAGCUCCCAUUUUAAUUUUUAUCCUGGCCAGCCUUACCAACAUGUUGGACUGUGCCUUAAUGUUUUCCCCUCUCCUGCUGAGGUUCUCACCCCACAGCUCUCCUGCACCCUUUGUAUCUCUUGAAACACAAUACAGCAGAGCUUGAGUAGGAGGGGUUAGCACAGCUUCCUCUCUUGUUUACCAAAGAACUUCUUUUUUGCAUGACUGCCGCCAUGGCCACUAGUUCUAAUGUGUUAUUUAUCCUUUGCAAGGCAGAUGACUCCUAUUCAGGUGCUAUUUGUGCUGCUUCUCUGUUUCAGAGGCUGCGAUUUGUUCUAGGGUGAGGGCAUCUGGAUUUGUGCAGCAGCUGGUUUACUGCCUUUUAUUUAGAGGACCUACGGGACAUUUAUGGCUGCUGAAUCCAAGAGGCCCACUACCCAGCCAUCAUGGGCUUUCUUUUCCCCAAGCACCUGGCAAAGCUGGAGAGAGAACCGAGUUGAAGGUCGUGAAGAGUCCAGAAUGAUGCUAACAGCAUGUUAGGAGCUGUCCAGUGCUGAACAAAUACAGGGAAGGAGGCUGAUAAGGCUGAUGACGAGGAUGAAGAGGACAGCAGCAAUGAUGAUAAUACUGCUUUGCACAUGGAGUUGCUUGCUUUUUGAUGGACUGACUAGACACAGUUUCCCUAAAUGGAGUUGCCUAUCGCUUUCCUUCUAGAGUUUACCCAGAUAACCUUGGGUAAGAUACCUAGCUCUCUACAAUUAAUUCAUCUGUAAAAUGGGAAUAAUAAAGACCGCCAGGCAGUGUUGCUAUGAGAAUUGAAAUAGGUGAGUCAGUAGUUUUAAAAGUGCCCCAAAGAGUGCCUGGUCGUUAUUGGGAGCACUUACUCAUCAGCACUACUGGAACUCAAACUUAUGUAACUUUAGAGGGACUGUGAUGUUCCCCAGCUUGGAUAGGGUAGAAAGAGCACAGACUUUAUUUUGCUUGUUAAGCAACAUGUCACUACAUUUAAACUCUCUUUGAGCCUUUGUUUUCUCAUCUAUACAAUGGGAACAGCAAUGCUUACCUCACAAGAAUGUGUGGAUUAAAAUGGAAUUGUCUGUGGAGAGAGCUUAUCACAGUGCCUGACACUGGCAAGUGUUUGGUAAUAAAUAGCUCUCAUACCCUGA